AUUGAACGCUGGCGGCAGGCCUAACACAUGCAAGUCGAGCGGAUGAAGGGGGCUUGCUCCUGGAUUCAGCGGCGGACGGGUGAGUAAUGCCUAGGAAUCUGCCUUGUCGUUGGGGAUGACGUCCGGAAACGGGCGCUAAUACCGCAUACGUCCUGAGGUAGAAAGUGGGGGUUCUUCGGACCUAGCGCUAUCAGAUGAGCCUAGGACGGAUUAGCUAGUUGGUGGGGUAAAGGCCUACCAAGGCGACGAUCCGAAACUGGCCUGAGAGGGUGAUCAGCCACACUGGAACUGAGACACGGUCCAGACUCCUACGGGAGGCAGCAGUGGGGAAUCUUGGGCAAUGGGCGAAAGCCUGAUCCAGCCACGCCGCGUGUGUGAAGAAGGUCUUCGGAUUGUAAAGCACUUUAAGUUGGGAGGAAGGGCAGUAAGUUAAUACCUUGCUGUUUUGACGGUACCAACAGAAUAAGCACCGGCUAACUUCGUG
rnacentral:rRNA from 1 species